UGCCAGCCGCCGCGGUAAUACGGAGAGGGCAAGCGUUGUUCGGAAUCACUGGGCAUAAAGCGCACGCAGGCGGAUUGGAAAGUCGGUUGUGAGAGCCCGGGGCUCAACUCCGGAACUGCUUCCGAAACUUCCAGUCUAGAGGAUGAGAGGGGAGAGUGGAACUUCUGGUGGAGCGGUGAAAUGCGUAGAGAUCAGAAGGAACACCGGUGGCGAAGGCGGCUAACUGGCUCGGUACUGACGCUGAGAUGCGAAAGCGUGGGGAGCAAACAGGAUUAGAUA
rnacentral:rRNA from 1 species